rnacentral:rRNA from 1 species
GACACGACUCUCGGCAAUGGAUAUCUCGGCUCUCGCAUCGAUGAAGAGCGCACCGAAAUGCGAUACGUGGUGCGAAUUGCAGAAUCCCGCGAAC